UCGAUAGUUUUUAGUUGGUUUCUAAGAGAAUAGUGGGCCUAAAUUAAAUAAAAAUUCAACAAUAAUUGUAGGAACGUUCCUAAAAUUAGGUUUUUGGAAACUCAUUAGAAACGCAUACGUGGCUAAUUGUGAUAGAUUGUUUGGUUUAAACAAAAGGAAAAUUUUCUUGCUUUCUCUUUUGUUUGGUUUCUCCGUCGACGAUACCAAAGGCGAUUCAACUUGAUUUGUUUGAUCCAGCGUUUUGAUCAUGAAAUCGGGAGAGCAACCACAUAUACUCAAUAUACAACCGCCAGAAUGAUGAUCGACGAUGAGAUUGUUCACCAAAUCAACUUCAAACCGGAUCUUGUGGUUAUAUUGUUGAAUUCUUUGUAACACCAGGAGCUUCUAUCAUGUGACUAUCUCAUGAGUUCUUACCAAGAGGUAGAAUCCAGCUCUGUCUCAAGUAUAUCUCUUUUAAUGCACUUGGAGUUUUCUGAAAUUUUUGCUCAAAAAACAUGGUUGUGGCAAAACAGAGCCUUUAUCUGACAUAGAGAUGGCGCUUAAGAACAAGCUAAUAAAUGAUAUGUUGUCUUAAGUUUUAGUUUCUAUCUGAAUGUUGCAUGUUUGGUCAGAAUGUACUUCACCUUCUAGUAUUUCGGCUUUAAGUUUUAGCUUCUAGUAUUUCGGCUUUUAGUAUAUGUGUAAUAACUUUGAGACUGAAUGUUUGGUCUGAAUGUUUGUGUUUGGUCUGAAUGUUUAGUCUGAAUGUUUUCUGUUUAUGGAUUAAUGAGAUGAGUAUUUGUGUUUGGUGAGUAUUUGUGUUUGGUGAAUGUUUGGUCUCAAUGUUUUCAGUUUAUGGAUUAAUGAGAUGAGUAUUUGUGUUUGGUCUGAAUGUUUGUAGUUUACGGUUUUGUUUCAUCUGUUAAUGUCAUGAUUUGCUUCAUUUUGCAGGACUGGGAAGAAUAGAAAUUGUGCCAACAUCAAUUGUGGAAGAUACCAGAUUCUUUAAAUGUAUGUACUGUUGUGAGUUUUAUCGAUUAAUGAGUUUGGUCUGAACUUAACCAUAUCCAUUAAUGAAUGAAUGUAUGUGUUUGGUCUGAACUUAACCAUAUUGAUUAAUAGAUGAAUGUGUGUGUUUGGUCUGAACUCAACCAUAUCGAUUAAUAGAUGAAUGUGAGUGUUUGGUCCGAACUUAACAAUUUUGGUUACAAUCGAGUAAUGAGUUUUAUUUCAUGAGUUUCAUCUAUUAA
rnacentral:lncRNA from 1 species